rnacentral:rRNA from 1 species
GCCUCUAGCAACAACAAGUAUUAGAGGUAAUGCCUGCCCAGUGACACUGUUAAACGGCCGCGGUAUCCUAACCGUGCAAAGGUAGCGUAAUCACUUGUCUUUUAAAUAAAGACUAGAAUGAAUGGCCAAACGAGGUUCCACCUGUCUCUUACAAACAAUCAGUGAAAUUGGUCUCCCCGUGCAAAAGCGAGGAUAGCACUAUAAGACGAGAAGACCCUGUGGAACUUUAAAUAUAAAUCAACUAUUUAACUUACCACUCUAAAGACUUAUAAUUUACUAGUUCUGAUCCAUAUUUUUGGUUGGGGUGACCUCGGAGAAAAACAAAACCUCCGAAAAAAGAACAUAUCUUCUUAACCUAGACCCACAACUCAAAGUGCCAACGGAAAAAUGAUCCAAUAUAUUUGAUCAACGAACCAAGCUACCCCAGGGAUAACAGCGCAAUCCCAUCUUAGAGUCCAUAUCGACGAUGGGGUUUACGACCUCGAUGUUGGAUCAGGACAUCCUGAUGGUGCAACCGCUAUCAAGGGUUCGUUUGUUCAACGAUUAACAGUCCCACGUGAU